UACGGAGGGUGCAAGCGUUGUUCGGAAUUAUUGGGCGUAAAGGGCAGGUAGGUGGUCUUGAAAGUCUGCUGUGAAAUCCCCGGGCUUAACUCGGGAAGUGCGGCAGAUACUCCAAGACUAGAGUGCUGGAGGGGUUCGUGGAAUUCCCGGUGUAGCGGUGAAAUGCGUAGAUAUCGGAAGGAACAUCAGUGGCGAAAGCGGCUUCCUGGACCAGCACCGACGUUCAGGCACGAAAGCGUGGGGAGCAAACAGG
rnacentral:rRNA from 1 species